rnacentral:misc_RNA from 1 species
GUAGGUGAACCUGCGGAAGGAUCAUUAGCGUUUUCAGCAGCGCGCCGUUGUUUUGUCGUUUUGGGGUGUUUGUGUUGCUUUGGUGUUUUGGUGUUUCUGUGUUUGUCUGUCUUGUCACUGAGUCUUCACUGGAGUCAGAGUCCGAGUCAGACCAAAUCCCAAAACCAAAUCCCAAAUCCAAAACCAAGCCACAUCCAAAACUUGCAUUUAAACCACUUUCUUUGCUUGAUUCGACUAAACUAAAAACAACUUUUGACAACGGAUCUCUUGGCUCUC